rnacentral:rRNA from 1 species
UAGCCUCAAGUGAUGAUUAUUGGAGGUAGAGCACUGUUUGGACGAGGGGCCCCUCUCGGGUUACCGAAUUCAGACAAACUCCGAAUGCCAAUUAAUUUAACUUGGGAGUCAGAACAUGGGUGAUAAGGUCCGUGUUCGAAAGGGAAACAGCCCAGACCACCAGCUAAGGUCCCAAAAUAUAUGUUAAGUGGAAAAGGAUGUGGCGUUGCCCAGACAACUAGGAUGUUGGCUUAGAAGCAGCCAUCAUUUAAAGAGUGCGUAAUAGCUCACUAGUCGAGUGACACUGCGCCGAAAAUGUACCGGGGCUAAACAUAUUACCGAAGCUGUGGAUUGUCCUUUGGACAAUGGUAGGAGAGCGUUCUAAGGGCGUUGAAGCAUGAUCGUAAGGACAUGUGGAGCGCUUAGAAGUGAGAAUGCCGGUGUGAGUAGCGAAAGACGGGUGAGAAUCCCGUCCACCGAUUGACUAAGGUUUCCAGAGGAAGGCUCGUCCGCUCUGGGUUAGUCGGGUCCUAAGCUGAGGCCGACAGGCGUAGGCGAUGGAUAACAGGUUGAUAUUCCUGUACCACCUAUAAUCGUUUUAAUCGAUGGGGGGACGCAGUAGGAUAGGCGAAGCGUGCGAUUGGAUUGCACGUCUAAGCAGUAAGGCUGAGUAUUAGGCAAAUCCGGUACUCAUUAAGGCUGAGCUGUGAUGGGGAGAAGACAUUGUGUCUUCGAGUCGUUGAUUUCACACUGCCGAGAAAAGCCUCUAGAUAGAAAAUAGGUGCCCGUACCGCAAACCGACACAGGUAGUCAAGAUGAGAAUUCUAAGGUGAGCGAGCGAACUCUCGUUAAGGAACUCGGCAAAAUGACCCCGUAACUUCGGGAGAAGGGGUGCUCUUUAGGGUUAACGCCCAGAAGAGCCGCAGUGAAUAGGCCCAAGCGACUGUUUAUCAAAAACACAGGUCUCUGCUAAACCGUAAGGUGAUGUAUAGGGGCUGACGCCUGCCCGGUGCUGGAAGGUUAAGAGGAGUGGUUAGCUUCUGCGAAGCUACGAAUCGAAGCCCCAGUAAACGGCGGCCGUAACUAUAACGGUCCUAAGGUAGCGAAAUUCCUUGUCGGGUAAGUUCCGACCCGCACGAAAGGCGUAACGAUUUGGGCACUGUCUCAACGAGAGACUCGGUGAAAUCAUAGUACCUGUGAAGAUGCAGGUUACCCGCGACAGGACGGAAAGACCCCGUGGAGCUUUACUGUAGCCUGAUAUUGAAAUUCGGCACAGCUUGUACAGGAUAGGUAGGAGCCUUUGAAACGUGAGCGCUAGCUUACGUGGAGGCGCUGGUGGGAUACUACCCUAGCUGUGUUGGCUUUCUAACCCGCACCACUUAUCGUGGUGGGAGACAGUGUCAGGCGGGCAGUUUGACUGGGGCGGUCGCCUCCUAAAAGGUAACGGAGGCGCUCAAAGGUUCCCUCAGAAUGGUUGGAAAUCAUUCAUAGAGUGUAAAGGCAUAAGGGAGCUUGACUGCGAGACCUACAAGUCGAGCAGGGUCGAAAGACGGACUUAGUGAUCCGGUGGUUCCGCAUGGAAGGGCCAUCGCUCAACGGAUAAAAGCUACCCCGGGGAUAACAGGCUUAUCUCCCCCAAGAGUUCACAUCGACGGGGAGGUUUGGCACCUCGAUGUCGGCUCAUCGCAUCCUGGGGCUGUAGUCGGUCCCAAGGGUUGGGCUGUUCGCCCAUUAAAGCGGUACGCGAGCUGGGUUCAGAACGUCGUGAGACAGUUCGGUCCCUAUCCGUCGUGGGCGUAGGAAAUUUGAGAGGAGCUGUCCUUAGUACGAGAGGACCGGGAUGGACAUACCUCUGGUGUACCAGUUGUCGUGCCAACGGCAUAGCUGGGUAGCUAUGUGUGGACGGGAUAAGUGCUGAAAGCAUCUAAGCAUGAAGCCCCCCUCAAGAUGAGAUUUCCCAACUUCGGUUAUAAGAUCCCUCAAAGAUGAUGAGGUUAAUAGGUUCGAGGUGGAAGCAUGGUGACAUGUGGAGCUGACGAAUACUAA